rnacentral:rRNA from 1 species
GAGUUUGAUCAUGGCUCAGAACGAACGCUGGCGGCAGGCUUAACACAUGCAAGUCGAACGGUUGUAGCAAUACAGCAGUGGCGCACGGGUGAGUAACGCGUGGAUAUCUGCCUUUUGGUUCGGAAUAACUCCGGGAAACUGGAGCUAAUACCGGAUGGUUCCUACGGGAUAAAGAUUUAUCGCCAAAAGAUGAGUCCGCGUACGAUUAGCUAGUUGGUGAGGUAAUGGCUCACCAAGGCGACGAUCGUUAGCUGGUCUGAGAGGACGAUCAGCCACACUGGGACUGAGACACGGCCCAGACUCCUACGGGAGGCAGCAGUGGGGAAUAUUGGACAAUGGGGGCAACCCUGAUCCAGCCAUGCCGCGUGAGUGAUGAAGGCCUUC